AAUUAUUACUUUGGCAGAUUAGUGUGGUAAAUUUAGAAUUUAUGAAUGUAAAUUAUUUUACAAGUAAUA
rnacentral:tRNA from 1 species